rnacentral:rRNA from 1 species
GAUGAACGCUGGCGGCGUGCCUAAUACAUGCAAGUCGAGCGAACAGAUGAGGAGCUUGCUCCUCUGACGUUAGCGGCGGACGGGUGAGUAACACGUGGAUAACCUACCUAUAAGACUGGGGUAACUUCGGGAAACCGGAGCUAAUACCGGAUAAUAUAUUGAACCGCAUGGUUCAAUAGUGAAAGACGGUUUUGCUGUCACUUAUAGAUGGAUCCGCGCCGCAUUAGCUAGUUGGUAAGGUAACGGCUUACCAAGGCAACGAUGCGUAGCCGACCUGAGAGGGUGAUCGGCCACACUGGAACUGAGACACGGUCCAGACUCCUACGGGAGGCAGCAGUAGGGAAUCUGCCGCAAUGGGCGAAAGCCUGACGGAGCAACGCCGCGUGAGUGAUGAAGGUCUUCGGAUCGUAAAACUCUGUUAUUAGGGAAGAACAAAUGUGUAAGUAACUAUGCACGUCUUGACGGUACCUAAUCAGAAAGCCACGGCUAACUACGUG